AUUGAACGCUGGCGGCAGGCCUAACACAUGCAAGUCGAACGGUAGCACAGAGAGCUUGCUCUCGGGUGACGAGUGGCGGACGGGUGAGUAAUGUCUGGGAAACUGCCUGAUGGAGGGGGAUAACUACUGGAAACGGUAGCUAAUACCGCAUAACGUCGCAAGACCAAAGUGGGGGACCUUCGGGCCUCACACCAUCGGAUGUGCCCAGAUGGAUUAGCUAGUAGGUGGGGUAAUGGCUCACCUAGGCGACGAUCCCUAGCUGGUCUGAGAGGAUGACCAGCCACACUGGAACUGAGCCACGGUCCAGACUCCUACGGGAGGCAGCAGUGGGGAAUAUUGCACAAUGGGCGCAAGCCUGAUGCAGCCAUGCCGCGUGUAUGAAGAAGGCCUUCGGGUUGUAAAGUACUUUCAGCGGGGAGGAAGGCGGUGAAGUUAAUAGCUUCACCGAUUGACGUUACCCGCAGAAGAAGCACCGGCUAACUCCGUGCCAGCCGCCGCAGUAA
rnacentral:rRNA from 1 species